AUGCAAUUGCAUCACUCAAAGAUGAUCCCGCGUUGUAUUAGCUAGUUGGUGAGGUAAAGGCUCACCAAGGCGAUGAUACAUAGCCGACCUGAGAGGGUGAUCGGCCACAUUGGGACUGAGACACGGCCCAAACUCCUACGGGAGGCAGCAGUAGGGAAUCUUCGGCAAUGGACGAAAGUCUGACCGAGCAACGCCGCGUGAGUGAAGAAGGUUUUCGGAUCGUAAAACUCUGUUGGUAGAG
rnacentral:rRNA from 1 species